rnacentral:lncRNA from 1 species
UAUAUAUGAGAAAAUAAUGUAUUUGUUGUUGUAGGAUACUACCAUGGGUCUCCUAUGAUGGCACCACCUCAAUAUGCAACUCCACCACCCAAGGGAAGUGGCUUUUUGUAAGGAUGAUUAGUGAUCCAGUGUUCAUGACUUCUUCGUUUCUGCUUUUAAAGAUUUGUUAUAAUACUCUGUAACCAAAAAGCUUUUGUUUCUAUGUUUAUCUGUUUUUUAUUUAAUAAAAGUAUUCGACAAUAGAGGAGUAUUAUCUUUAGCUGAUGAACAGAGAUUAAAUGGAACAUUGGAAAUUAGACAUGAUUUGCAUCUUGGAUGGAUGAUCUAUUUUGCAUCUUAUUUCACAUCUCGGCAUGCAACCUAUUUGGUCAAUUCUUACUGUAGAGCUUUUAUGUAGAAGAGGAACUUUGAUUUGUAAAACAUAUAUUUCGAAGAGUUUGGUUGAGAUGAAGUUGCUAAAUAAACUACAAAUGACCUUCGUUUUGUCCUCGAAAAUAAUUAUUUUUAAACUAUAGAAAAUUGAAAUAAUGUUGUUGGUGCAGCUAAAACAAACUUAUAACUAAAAUUUUUAUUUUAUUGCACUGGUAUAAUUGUUAGCUAAACAUCAAUUCCUGUUAUUUUUUAUGUUGUGCGAUAUAUUACUCUUAUGGUUGCAUAAUAUUAACAGAUGACUUCAAGGAAUGGGGAAAAAUUGAAUAUUUUUUGCUGCUUAUUUAUCAAGAUAUAGGUACAAAACAUAUUUGUUUUCAUCAUUAAUUUUGCCUUUAGCAACAAAAUAUAUUUCAUCUCCAAUAUUGAUUAUAGCAACAAGAUAUUCCAUUACUAGUAAAACUCUUCAGCAAGAAUUUUAUAUUUUUCGGUGAAAUAGUUAUUUUCUCAUUUAAAGGUUAAUUUCAUGUAAUUUGGAGGUAUUUUAAUCAUCAAGAUCUUGUACUUGUUUGACAGGAAUAUAAAUAGUGAUUCACUUGCAGAUUAUAUUUUAGAGCAGAAAGUCAAUUUUCUUAAUAGGAAAAGUCAACUUUUUAUUUUUUAAAAUUAGAGAAGACUGGAAACUUAUGCCCACAGGUUUUAAUAAGGACAAAAUUUUCCCUAACUAGCUUUUUAAACAACGCAAAUUUAAUUAAAAGAAAACAAUGUUAGAAAAACUCUUCAGCAAGAAUAUUUUUAUUUUUCAGUGAAAAUUUAUUUUCCCUUUUAAAGGUUAAUUUUAUAUAAAUUUGGAGGUAUGUUAUUCAUCAAGAUCUUGCAGUUGUUUGACAAGAAUACAAAUACUGUUUCAUUACAGAGUAUACCUUAGAGCAGAAACUUAAUUUUCUUAAUAGGAAAAAGGCAAAACUUUUCUUUCUUUAAAAUUAGGGAAGAGUGGAAACAUAUGCUCACAGGUUUUACGAAGGACAAUUUUUUCCCUAACUAGCUUCUUAAACAACGAAACUUUAAUUGAAAGAAAUCAAUGUUAAUCAAUAAAUCUGCACAAAAAACGAGAUCACAAAAUAAACUGCCUACUUUUAUUUCUUUUGUGAAAUGGAGAUCACUUACUACGGUUUUUUGAUGACUUCGCCACUGACUAGAAUGUUUUGUUUCGCAGCCUUGCUGCCCUGUACUGCUGCUUUUGUUGACGAGUGCUGCUUGGAUCCAGGCAUCCUAUUUGCUGCCUUUAAACACACUUGAAGUAUCUGCUGUGAAGCUGUAAUCAAAAUUUCAAGCUUGAAAGUGUUUCAGCAUCUUUAUUUAGAGAAACUUCCAUAAAAGUAUGUUUCGCUGUGGUUAGCAGUGAUGGCCACAAGAACAUAAAUAAGAAGAUUCAUGAAUGUCAAAUAACCUUUCUCAGUGAUCAUUCUGCAUCAAUCCAGUCUGCUACAUGGAAGAAUCUGAUUACUUUAGUUAACACUUUUGCUACUCAUUUCUUAUCUAUUAGAACCAUUAGGGUCUUCGAAACUGAAAAUCUGAUAUUAACAUUAACCAAUAUUUUUUAGAUAAUUUUUUAGUGUCAUUUAUCAUGACUAACUCGAUGAGUUAACUGUCUCAUUAACUUGACAAAUCAAUUAUAGUAAAAUCAUCUGAAUCCUUAUAAACCAAUGUUGAUACUUAAACUCAAGUUAACUAUAGUAGACUCAUAUAAUCCUUAUAAAUCGAUACAAUUCUCUUCGAACAUCUGAAAAUGUGACAUUACAAGUGAUGAGAUGUGAGGUUAAUUCUCUGGUGAGAUCUUCCCAAAGUCAUAAAUCAUAAAAUAUAUCAAAUGUAUACCAAGGUUUGACUUAUCGGUCGACACCGGUGUGCCGCCCAGUACCGGUGUACCGACACAUGGUACAUUGGUGCAUACUGAUAUUUCGACAAGGAAGAAAAUAAGGUUGAAGUGGAUGGUCCGAUGGAGGAAUAGAGGAGGAAGAAGGAAGAAGACGAAGAAAAAAAAAAGGAGGAGGAAAGGAAGUGCAGCGAUACCUGGGAAGCAGCGGCAGCGUCGAAGGGAAGCAGCAGCAACAUCGCAUCGGCGAUGCGAUGUGAGGGAAUGCCACGGCAUCGUACGCGAGAAGAGGAGCCCUAAUAUGCCUUUUGAAUUUUUUUAAUGCCGAAAUGAACUGGGGUCCACCCCUUUUUAAUUUUUUAUUAUUUUAAUUCGGACAACCCCAAAAAGGCCUAUCCAUGUAUCAAUACAAUGCUUAGACCUAUACGUACCACCCAAACCGCACUGUACGGCGGGUACAACAAUCCUUGAUGUAUGCAAUCAUACCUCAGUCUUCAAGAUCCUCCGUCUUGAAGACACCCACCAAAGAAAUGCUUGAAUGUCUUCAAGAAUCACUCUGUCCAACCCCGAGCGCCCAUUCUCUCUCCUCUCCAACUCUUCAAGAAUCCUCUGCUCCCUUCUCCUUCUUCUCCUCGUUCAUUUCCUCUCGUCCCCUCUCCGGAAACUUUAGUCAUCCAUGGAGCCCGUCGACCUCGUUCCGUCAGGCUACAGAUUCCUUCCCACGGCGGAUGAACUCGUGGUCGACUACCUCGCCAACUGGGUCGCCGGCAAACCCCUCCCUGGCCGCGCUGUCGCCUUCGCCGACGUCUACGGCACCGAGCCGUGGAAUCUUCUCGGCAGCGAUCGGAAGGAGGGCUAUUUCUUUGCGGAGCGCCAGCCCAAGGCCAGCGGCGGCUCGCGCGUCGAUCGAACGGCCGGCACCGGUUCUUGGCUUCUGAACAGAAGGCAAGAACCCGUCAAGUCCAUCGUCGACGGGCGCGAGAUCGUGGUGGGAAGAAGGAGCUACCUUUCCUUCAAGGACGGCCGGCGGAAGAACUCCGGGUGGGUAAUGUAUGAAUACCAGAUGUGUUCAUCCACCUUCGAGACACGAGUUCUCUGUCACGUGAAGAAGAGCUCGUAUCAACCCGUCUCCGGCGGCAAGUUCAUGAAAUCGGUUGAGUCCACGUUCACGGAGGCCACGACGGAGACGCUCACCGGCGCCAGCAGUUUCGUUGGGCAGAAGAGAAAUAGAGAGGAAUCUUCUACUCUCUCAUCAGCAGCACCCAAGAAGCCAUGCCGGGGGUUGGUUGCACAUUCCAACGGAGCAUUCCAGUCCGACCUCUCACCACCUCCGACCGCGGUGGUGCAACAGCUCUUAUUGGCUCCCGUCGUGACAAUCCCGGAGAGUCGUCUUUCCUCCAUCGACUCCGUGGCACCGAACGAAGCCGGAGUCCCAGCCGCCUCCCCAUCGUCAACGGACGUUGGUGGAGGUGACGUCGGGAUAACUGCGGAAGAACUCGAAGCAUUUGACCUCGGGAUGACUGCGGAGGAGCUCGAAGCAUUCUUGGCUUCGCCUUCGUCGUCGGUCGAUCUUGGCGGUGAUCAGCACUGCACCGACGAUGCUUUCUUUACCAGAGAGGUUGAUGCUCUCUUGAUGUCCGAUGCCACCGACACAGUCUCGACUACCAUCCCCAAGGCCUCGCCGUCAGGCCCCUUCUUCACGAGCCUGGAAGAGGUCCAUGCCUUCUUGAUGUCCGAUGACACUUUCAUUGCCUCGACUACGAUCCCAGGGGCCUCGCUAUCAUCCGAGUUGCAAGCCUGCUUGAUGUCUGAUUCGACCACGGUCGAAAAGGCUUCGACGUCAUCGUCGAACGACUCUGUUGGGUGUGCGCAGACGGAGAACAUAGACGACGACGACGGCUUGCUGCAAGAGAUUGAAGCCCUCAUGAAGUUCGAUGACACCCCAAUGGAUUCGACUAUGAUCCCGUGGUUGGAGCAGUAGCUUUGUUUGUAUAGAAAAUACUGUUUGUUCAUGUAUAUCAUAAUAAAGGAAGGAAAAGAAAACAUAUGUUCAUGUAAAAAUUGGCAAUAACACAAUUCAUUUUUCAUCCCAACCCAUGUAUUGUUGUCUCCUUUGAUGCGAUGUUGGUCUCCAUAGGAUGGUAUAACGAAUGAACCAGCAAUCUGACAGAAAGGUCAUUGUAGUGGGCAAACAGCCAAUAUGCCCUCUACUUUUCAUUAGUGUAAUUGAUUGCUCACUCAUUUGAGUUAAAACAUGAUUGAUCAACCAAAGAGCAAAAUAAUAGAAAUGAGAUACAACUGCAUUGACAGUGAUAAUUCCUGUGGUACACACAAACCAUGACACUGCUAAUUCACUCACUGAUCAUAUAUUUAGCAACAUCUACACACCACUGGUGCUAACUCACUCACUGAUCAUAUAUUUAACAAUAUCUACACACCACUGGCAAAUUGGCAAUAACUAUACAACACCACCAAAUUAAAGAUUCAGUUAAAAAAAACUAGUAUCUAUUCUCUCGAUGCUCAAGCAAACCAUAGUUCGAUUGUCUCUGUUGACAUUUCGAUACAAUAUAUUGGUUUGGAAGUUAGAGCAAGUCUGUACAGAGGAGGCCACCAUCAAUGCCAAUCUCUACAACAUCAGUUGCACAGGUAUGCACAUCCCUUGGAGCACUGCACCAUUAGACAUCUUCCCCAUGCGUAGCUCCAGCAAUUAGAUUUCCUGCGUCUAAUCCCACAACAACAGUUUGUCGUGAAGGUGGGUGGUUGUGGUGGCAGUAGCCUCCCUAUGUAUGUCUUCUCUAAAGCGAUAACAACAAUCAUAAAUUAUUAGCACAUAAGCAGAGUCUAUAAACAGCUCUAUCGUAAAACCAGAUCAGUUCCAAUAAAAAUUUUCUUAUCCAGCAAAGUCUACAGUAUUCACUUUGGUGAGUGCAAAGCAGAAGUCAAAUGACAAUUUGAAUUCAUCAAAGUGACUAAGGAAUUGACAAUAUUUUCCGAACCGAUCACUGAAUGCAGAAAUUAAGCAUAGCAUCUGACAGGAAUCAAUAAAUUUAAGAAACUGAUAGACUCUUUAAUAUAAGUUCAAACUUUCUGAUACAAUGGAAAAACAUUAACCAAAUUCAGUCCAUUGUUAAGGAUACAAUUGCCACUACUUUGCAAAGAAAGCUUUUAAAUCCUUCUCAACAGAAAGAAUCAAACCACUGAUUGUUUGCAGGACAAAACGUGAUGAAUUUAAGACAAAGCACUUGCAUGAAUUACAAAAACUGGGCAAUUGACAUUUUUAAUUUUGUUAAUGUUCUGCAUCAAAAGCUUAAAUGAAUCAAUAUAUAACACCUCUAAAGCAAGUAAAAUGCAAAGUAUAAAUCAAUAGACAAGUGAAAAGCAUGUUAAAUGAGGAUGGUUAAAUGGAACCAGAUAAAAGUUCAGUUUGCAUUGCUUUGAAAGAAAAUUUUAGAGGACUCAACAUCAAGUUAAUGAUUGUGAGCUUAUCUAGCCCUAUAAACCAUCACAAUUAUUCUUCCACUUCUGAUACGAUGCUAAUCGAGAUAAUUUUGGUGACUGAACUUACUUAGCUUACAUUCAAGAAAUAAUUCAGCAACAAUGCAUAUAGUGUAUUCACUGUUCACAACUAAUAUCUGAUUUCAUUUCACAAAAAAAAAAAAUCGGCACAGAAAUUGGUUAAUUGCAAAGAAACUACUGAAUGAUGUUGUGAUGUGUCCCACAUAAUUUUGAUAGAUCUGUCUUACAUAUUCAAACACAAUUUUUGUGACAUCGAUAAUCAACAUUAAUAUGAUUUAUAGCAAGCAUCUAUACCUUCAUUUACCAAAUUCAAUCAAACUAAAGCCUGCCGGAUAUUAUCAAAGAAAAAGAAUUACACUAUGAUGGAUAAUGCACUAAAAGUUUUGACUAUGACACAAUUGAAAAAAACACAUUGGAUCAAGAUCAGAAUAACAUUUUAUAACUAAAAUCCACAUCAUGUAUUCUUGCUUCAAUAAAAAGAUGCCUUUACAACUUUAUUAUGAUACAUAUAUAUAUAAGAAAAUAAUGUAUUUGUUGUUGUAAGAUACAAACAUAGGUCUCCUAUGAUGGCACCACCUCAACAUGCAACUCCAUCACCCAAGAGAAGUGGCUUUUUGGAAGGAUGAUUAGUGAUCAAGUGUUCAUGGCUUCUUCAUUUCUGCUCUUAAAGAUUUGUUAUAAUACUCUGUAACCAAAAAGCUUUUGUUUCUGUGUUUGUCUGUUUUUUGUGUAAUAAAAGUACUCAAUAUUAGAGGAAUAUUAUCUUUAACCGAUGAACAAAGAUUAACGGAACUGUGGAAAUUAGACAUGAUUUGCAUCUUGGAUGGAUGAUAUGUUUUGCAUCUUGUUUCACAUCUCAACAUAUAACCUAUUUGGUCAGUUCUUACUGUAGAGCUUUUAUGUAGAAGAGGAACUUUGAUUUGUAAAACAUAUAUUUUGAAGAGUUCGCUUGAGAUGGAGUUGCUAAAUAAACUAUAAAUGAUCGUCUAAAAUAUUUUUUUUAAAACUAUCGAAAAUUGAAAUAAUGUUGUUGGUGCAGCUAAAACAAACUUAUAACUAAAAUUUUUAUUAUAUUGCAUUGGUAUAAUUGUUAGCUAAACAUCAAUUCCUGUUAUUUUUUCUGUUGUGUGAUAUGUUGCUCUUAUGGUUGCAUAAUUUUAACAGAUUACUUCAAGG